rnacentral:rRNA from 1 species
CUUUAAUGUUUGAUGUUCUAACGUUGACCCGUGAUCCGGGUUGCGGACAGUGUCUGGUGGGUAGUUUGACUGGGGCGGUCUCCUCCUAAAGAGUAACGGAGGAGCACGAAGGUUGGCUAAUCCUGGUCGGACAUCAGGAGGUUAGUGCAAUGGCAUAAGCCAGCUUGACUGCGAGCGUGACGGCGCGAGCAGGUGCGAAAGCAGGUCAUAGUGAUCCGGUGGUUCUGAAUGGAAGGGCCAUCGCUCAACGGAUAAAAGGUACUCCGGGGAUAACAGGCUGAUACCGCCCAAGAGUUCAUAUCGACGGCGGUGUUUGGCACCUCGAUGUCGGCUCAUCACAUCCUGGGGCUGAAGUAGGUCCCAAGGGUAUGGCUGUUCGCCAUUUAAAGUGGUACGCGAGCUGGGUUUAGAACGUCGUGAGACAGUUCGGUCCCUA